GACAGAGGUGCCGAGCGUUAGGCGGAAUCACUGGGCUUAAAGCGUGUGUAGGCGGGAUCGUAAGUACCUUGUGAAAUCCCACGGCUCAACCCCGGAACUGCUUUCGAAACUGCUGAGCUAGAGUACAGAAGGGGCAACCGGAAUUCCCAGUGUAGCGGUGAAAUGCGUAGAUAUUGGGAAGAACACCUGAGGCGAAGGCGGGUUGCUGGGCUGAUACUGACGCUGAGGAGCGAAAGCCAGGGGAGCAAACGGG
rnacentral:rRNA from 1 species